rnacentral:rRNA from 1 species
GACGAAGGGGGCUAGCGUUGUUCGGAAUUACUGGGCGUAAAGCGAGUGUAGGUGGUUGUCGUAGUCAGGCGUGAAAGCCUUGGGCUCAACUCAAGAAAUGCGCUUGAUACUGGGCAGCUAGAGGACCGGAGAGGAUAGUGGAAUUCCCAGUGUAGUGGUGAAAUACGUAGAGAUUGGGAAGAACACCAGUGGCGAAGGCGGCUAUCUGGACGGUUUCUGACACUAAGACUCGAAAGCGUGGGGAGCAAACAGG